CCUUGGCCACCUGGCUCUGAGAACUGAAUUCCAUAGACUGUGAGCUCCAGCAAUGCCCUGGGGACUCAGUUCUGUUGCCUGGCUGUGCU
rnacentral:pre_miRNA from 1 species